AAUUCAGGGGGAUGUAAAAAUCUGUCGUCUCAUCAAUUACCUAGGUUUAUUCAGUUGAUCUGUCCUCACCAUACCAUGUGGAUUCCUUCCUGAAGAGGUACACUCAGCAGAAGAAAUCAACCCUCCCUAAAAGAGGAAGACUGUUGUUUGGUUAAGACUGCAUGAGUACCUGAGUACCCCUGCUAGAACAUCAAAACAUGCUCACCAACUCAGGAGCCGGUAAGGAGUACCCUUGAACAUACAUGUGAUUUUAGAAAUAACUGAAAUAAUU
rnacentral:snRNA from 1 species